rnacentral:rRNA from 1 species
AGUGAACGCUGGCGGUAGGCCUAACACAUGCAAGUCGAACGGCAGCACAGUAAGAGCUUGCUCUUACGGGUGGCGAGUGGCGGACGGGUGAGGAAUACAUCGGAAUCUACUUUUUCGUGGGGGAUAACGUAGGGAAACUUACGCUAAUACCUAAUACGACCUACGGGUGAAAGCAGGGGAUCUUCGGACCUUGCGCGAUUGAAUGAGCCGAUGUCGGAUUAGCUAGUUGGCGGGGUAAAGGCCCACCAAGGCGACGAUCCGUAGCUGGUCUGAGAGGAUGAUCAGCCACACUGGAACUGAGACACGGCCCAGACUCCUACGGGAGGCAGCAGUGGGGAAUAUUGGACAAUGGGCGCAAGCCUGAUCCAGCCAUACUGCGUGGGUGAAGAAGGCCUUCGGGUUGUAAAGCCCUUUUGUUAGGAAAGAAAAGCAGCAGGUUAAUACCCCGCUGUUCUGACGGUACCCAAAGAAUAAGCACCGGCUAACUUCGUG